UUCUUUCUGUUCUUCACUUGCUUUCAAAAUGAGGGCACGUUCAGGGAAGCCUGCCCGCCCGCCUCCUGCACUUCCACGAGGUAUCUCGUGGACAUCUUCCCCCCACCUCCCGAAAAAAAAUUAAAUAAAUAAAUAAAAGCAAACCUAACCAAACCAACAACAGGCACCACCGCCAAAAGAAAAAGAAAAACCUCAAAUGCGUAGUGUGUUCCCAACUUGGAGUUAAAGUCGGUGCUAACACGGGUCAGUUCCUUCCCCUAGCUGGGAAGGCAGGGAGGAGGAUGUAAAGUCUAGGUUGGUGGGGGGUGGCGGUGGGGGGGAGGAACAAGAGAAACCCCCAAAAUAAACAAACAAAUCUCGUGCACGAUCACAAUAAAGUGAAAUUCCUUUCUACACACCCACAACUUUAGCUCUGUGCGCUGCCUGGGGGGUUUUAAUCUUGCAAAGAGAAAGGGGGGCUCCCUGCGCAAAAUUACGCCUUCUUCUCUCAUUUGUUAGCUGAUUCCAUCAAAAAGUUCGCUAUUUAUAGGCUACACACACGAACCUGGAGUAAUACAAACCCUCCCGUGUUGUUGCCCUCGCAAAGUGGCCGGUCCUGAAGCAUCUGAUCGGGUUUGUGUGUGCGUGAGUGAGAGCGAGCCACGCAGAGAGCGCUGCCAUCCAAAAGGGGAAAGAAGAGCUCAAGCUGAGAGACUUAUUAAUUGCUAAGAGCUGCUCUGCCACCAGCCAUGUCUUGGAGGAGUGAGUGCCUGGUGCAGUCUCUGCCUGACUCCUUGGUAAGUCAUGGCCAAAAGUCUUUAAGGUGCCAAAGCACAACAAAUGAGACAUCACGUAGCUUCAUAAUUUCCCAUGACCGAGUCACCAGCAUGAGGUUAUCAGCACAGGAGAACUGAGAUACUUUGGUGAAAGUUACUGAUGUUUAAUAGGAAUGUAAUGCAGUGGUACUCCGGGAUACAAACAGCUACUCUCAGAGUUCAGAAAAGGAACCUGAUACAAGUCAGCAAAAGACCCCCUCUUUCCUUAAUAACAUUGAGGAUAUGGCCCACAUUUCCUGGUGAAAUACCUUCUGCGGCUUGUGUGUCUGGAGCAAGGCAAAGACCAGGGAGAGGAUCAAAAAGGAUUUGCUGACAUUUGGGCUGUUUCAUUGCCAGAGGAGGCUUUGUGUGUCCCAAAGGAAGUGAGUGAUCUGGCCAUAACAAAUCCUGCCAAAAUAUUUUAACACCGUUACGAUUUUCUAAUGCAAUGCGUAGUGAAUGUGACUAGAAAA